rnacentral:rRNA from 1 species
AUCCUCGGGAGGCAGCAGUGGGGAAUAUUGCACAAUGGGGCGCAAGCCUGAUGCAGCCAUGCCGCGUGUAUGAAGAAGGCCUUCGGGUUGUAAAGUACUUUCAGCAGUGAGGAAGGUGGGUAUGUUAAUAGCAUACUCAUUUGACGUUAGCUGCAGAAGAAGCACCGGCUAACUCCGUGCCAGCAGCCGCGGUAAUACGGAGGGUGCGAGCGUUAAUCGGAAUUACUGGGCGUAAAAGCGCAUGCAGGUGGUUUGUUAAGUCAGAUGUGAAAGCCCGGGGCUCAACCUCGGAAUUGCAUUUGAAACUGGCAAACUAGAGUACUGUAGAGGGGGUAGAAUUUCAGGUGUAGCGGUGAAAUGCGUAGAGAUCUGAAGGAAUACCGGUGGCGAAGGCGGCCCCCUGGACAGAUACUGACACUCAGAUGCGAAAGCGUGGGGAGCAAACAGGAUUAGAUACCCUGGUAG